rnacentral:tRNA from 1 species
CGGCCCGUAGCUCAACGGUUAGAGCCGGGUCCUUAUAAGACCCAGACGAGGGUUCGACUCCCUCCGGGCUGA